UGGGGAAUAUUGCACAAUGGGGGGAAACCCUGAUGCAGCGACGCCGCGUGAACGAAGAAGUAUUUCGGUAUGUAAAGUUCUAUCAGCAGGGAAGAUAAUGACGGUACCUGACUAAGGAGCACCGGCUAAAUACGUGCCAGCAGCCGCGGUAAUACGUAUGGUGCAAGCGUUAUCCGGAUUUACUGGGUGUAAAGGGAGCGCAGGCGGUGCGGCAAGUCUGAUGUGAAAGCCCGGGGCUCAACCCCGGUACUGCAUUGGAAACUGUCGUACUAGAGUG
rnacentral:rRNA from 1 species